AGGAAAAGAAACCAACAGGGAUUGCCUUAGUAACGGCGAGUGAAGCGGCAAAAGCUCAAAUUUGAAAUCUGGCACCUUCGGUGUCCGAGUUGUAAUUUGAAGAAGGUAACUUUGGAGUUGGCUCUUGUCUAUGUUCCUUGGAACAGGACGUCACAGAGGGUGAGAAUCCCGUGCGAUGAGAUGCCCAAUUCUAUGUAAAGUGCUUUCGAAGAGUCGAGUUGUUUGGGAAUGCAGCUCUAAGUGGGUGGUAAAUUCCAUCUAAAGCUAAAUAUUGGCGAGAGACCGAUAGCGAACAAGUACAGUGAUGGAAAGAUGAAAAGAACUUUGAAAAGAGAGUGAAAAAGUACGUGAAAUUGUUGAAAGGGAAGGGCUUGAGAUCAGACUUGGUAUUUUGCGAUCCUUUCCUUCUUGGUUGGGUUCCUCGCAGCUUACUGGGCCAGCAUCGGUUUGGAUGGUAGGAUAAUGACUAAGGAAUGUGGCUCUACUUCGGUGGAGUGUUAUAGCCUUGGUUGAUACUGCCUGUCUAGACCGAGGACUGCGUCUUUGACUAGGAUGCUGGCAUAAUGAUCUUAAGCCACCC
rnacentral:rRNA from 1 species